rnacentral:lncRNA from 10 species
AGGGGAUACAAGUUCUUACUCUGGUCAUGAAUUUUAUUCGGAACUGUCAGCUCGGGUUUGGUUGGUUGAAAAGCAUCAUUCAGAAGGAACCAAUAAAGAGAGAGGGGGAAUUCCUGCAAAAAGUAAUAAACUAAAAGAAAACCUAAAGGGUAUAAAUGUAAAAUUAAGUCCUUUUACUCUCUCCAGUUGAACUACCUAGAGAAAACCAUUUUAAAUCACAAUUUCAGAAGAUUUUAAAAAUUCAACUCUACCUAAAGACAUCAUAAAAUGGCUCAUUAUUCCAUCAUCCAGGCUCCCCUGUUUCUCAGGCCUCCAGACUGAAGCUGAAUUAUACCACCAGCUCUCCUCAGUCUCCAGUUUGCAGACAACAGAUCAUGGGACUUCUCAGCCUCCAUAAUCACAGGAGUCAAUUCCUCAUAAUAAAUCUGUCUGCCCCCUGCUGUGUGUGUGUGUGUGUGUGUGUGUGUGUGGUGUGUGUGUGCUCUGUGUGUGUGUGUGUGUUUCAGGUGCGUCUGAUCCCAAUACCUAUGCUUUUAACCACUAUAAAUGGAGAAACAUUACAACAGGAAACCAAGAGUUGAGAAAGAAUUGUAGUGAGGAGGUGGAUAAAUGGGGAUGUUUCCCUACCUUGAACUCAAACCAGUUAGAUAGUUGCUACUUGGGAAGCUAAUCCACUUAUAUUAAAUAUAUAUAAUAUAGAUGACUAUAACAGUUUUGUCAAAAGAGCAAAACUGGGUUAUAUACACCUUUGACAAAAAUUAGCAUGAGUGUAGUUACUUCCUGAAUACAUCUUUCUUUUCAUUUAGUUGCUUGGUAAGCAGAUACUGCCCCAGCUUAUGUGUUCUCCAAACCACAGAUACACAUAUCUGGAUUUCCAGGAGGUUUCAUGAAGUGCCUCUUAAUAGAUAUGAGAUGAGAAAAACACCCACCCCAAUACACACACACACACACACACACACACACAGCCCACUAGCACCUUGGGGAAGAGGAAGAACAUAAAGCCUACCAUGUAUGAAGAAAUCUAUCUCCCACUGCCUAGCCUCUCCAACUUUAAUCCCUUUAUUGCUUUUGGAUGGGUGAGGAUGUGUGAGGAAACAAGUGGACAACACUAGUUUGGGGCUAUUUCAUUUGUAAGUCAUGUCUCAGUAUUCUGUCUCACUUUCUCAUGUGUAGGAGUAAAUAGAAUCUGUCUUCUUGGGAAUUUGCCUAAACUCAAGAUUACAAGAGGUCUGUGUUAACAUUUCUUGAACCCAAAUGUGGCACAUAUAUACCAUGGAAUACUAUGCAGCCAUAAAAAAGGGUGAGUUCAUGUCCUUUGCAGGGACAUGGAUGAAGCUGGAAACCAUCAUUCUCAGCAAACUAACACAGGAACAGAAAACCAAACACCGCAUGUUCUCACUCAUAAGUGGGAGCUUAACAAAGAGAACACAUGGACACAGGGAGGGGAAUAUCACACAUCAGGGCCUGUCAGGCGGUGAGGGGUUAGGGGAAGGAUAGCAUUAGGUUAAAUACCUAAUACAGAUGACAGGUUGAUAGGUGCAGCAAACCACCAUGGCGUGUGUAUACCUAUGUAACAAACCUGCACAUUCUACACAUGUAUCCCAGAACUUAAAGUAUAUUUAAAACAAAACAAAACAAAACAAAAAAAUAACAUGAAAUUGGAUCUCACCAAAGAAAAAAAAAAGAAAUGCAAAGUCAAGGGCCCCAUUCAAGACCUACUGAAUCAAAAAUUAAAAGUGGAGCCCAUUAAUCUCUGUUUUAAGAAGCCCUCCAGGAGAUUCUGAAACAAGCUAAAGUUUGUCACUAUUUUACAGCAUAUAAUAGAUUUUUAAUUGCAUUAUUCAAAAUCCUUUACUCUUUCUCU